UUCAUAACAAGACAGGCGCAUCUACACAGAUCAGACUGAGCAGGGAAAACACAAAGAAAGGAACAGCAGCGGACCAGAGAAGUAAAGGAGGCUGAUGAGGAAACAGGUGCAUCUUCAGGGUUUUAGAUGAGCAGCCGUUGAGAUGGAGGUGGAGAACCAUAAUAACACAGAAGCAGGAGGAGGAGAGUCUGAAAUCAAAUCUGUAAUAUCAUCUGUGACAGAUGACAAAGAUGAGCUGGAGGAAAGUGCAGCUAAAACCAAGGUAACAUAGUUUCACCCAGACUACUCACCAUUUUACAGUUGUAUUUGAGAGGUUAAAAAACCCUCUCUUACAACCACAUUAAUAAUUUGACCCACAGUCUCUGGAUAUUCAUGUCAUUCAUACCAAUUCAUGGAUGAAUAAAUGAAUAUAAUGCAACAACAUUUGAACGAUUAAGAGUCCCAACAGUGUUCAACAA